ACGGAAGGCAGCAGUGAGGAAUAUUGGUCAAUGGGCGGAAGCCUGAACCAGCCAAGUCGCGUGAAGGAUGAAGGUAUUAUGUAUUGUAAACUUCUUUAGCAGCAGAGUAAUAAGGGGGUCGUGACCCCCGAUGCAAGUAUGCUGAAAAUAAGGAUCGGCUAACUCCGUGCCAGCAGCCGCGGUAAUACGGAGGAUCCGAGCGUUAUCCGGAUUUAUUGGGUUUAAAGGGUGCGCAGGCGGUUUUUUAAGUCAGUGGUUAAAUCGUGAGGCUCAACCUCAUCACGCCAUUGAUACUGGAAGACUUGGUUGCGGUUGAGGUUGGCGGAAUUCGUCGUGUAGCGGUGAAAUGCAUAGAUAUGACGAAGAACACCGAUUGCGUAGGCAGCUGACCAAGCCGUAAAUGACGCUCAUGCACGAAAGUGCGGGGAUCGAACAGGAUUAGAUACCCUGGUA
rnacentral:rRNA from 1 species